rnacentral:rRNA from 1 species
AGCGAACGCUGGCGGCAGGCUUAACACAUGCAAGUCGAGCGCCCCGCAAGGGGAGCGGCAGACGGGUGAGUAACACGUGGGAACGUGCCUUUUGGUUCGGAACAACCCAGGGAAACUUGGGCUAAUACCGGAUAAGCCCUUACGGGGAAAGAUUUAUCGCCAAAAGAUCGGCCCGCGUCUGAUUAGCUAGUUGGUGGGGUAAUGGCCCACCAAGGCUACGAUCAGUAGCUGGUCUGAGAGGAUGAUCAGCCCCAUUGGGACUGAGACCCGGCCCAAACUCCUACGGGAGGCAGCAGUGGGGAAUAUUGGACAAUGGGGGCAACCCUGAUCCAGCUAUGCCGCGUGAGUGAUGAAGGCCUUAGGGUUGUAAAGCUCUUUUAGCAGGGAAGAUAAUGACGGUACCUGCAGAAAAAGCCCCGGCUAACUUCGUGCCAGCCGCCGCUGUAA